rnacentral:rRNA from 1 species
UACGUAAGGGGCGAGCGUUGUUCGGAAUUAUUGGGCGUAAAGGGCGUGUAGGCGGACGGGUAAGUCUGGUGUUAAAUGCCCCGGCUCAACCGGGUGAGGAGCGCUGGAAACUGCUCUGUCUUGGAGUUCAGGAAGGGGAGCUGGAAUUCCUGGUGUAGGGGUGAAAUCUGUAGAUAUCAGGAAGAACACCGGUGGCGAAGGCGAGCUUCUGGCCUGACACUGACGCUGAGGCGCGAAAGCGUGGG